rnacentral:rRNA from 1 species
UGGGGAAUAUUGCACAAUGGGGGAAACCCUGAUGCAGCGACGCCGCGUGAGUGAAGAAGUAUUUCGGUACGUAAAGCUCUAUCAGCAGGGAAGAAAAUGACGGUACCUGACUAAGAAGCCCCGGCUAACUACGUGCCAGCAGCCGCGGUAAUACGUAGGGGGCAAGCGUUAUCCGGAUUUACUGGGUGUAAAGGGAGCGUAGACGGCAGCGCAAGUCUGGAGUGAAAUGCCGGGGCCCAACCCCGGAACUGCUUUGGAAACUGUGCAGCUUGAGUGCGGGAGAGGUAAGUGGAAUUCCUAGUG